ensembl:lncRNA
CACUGGCUGAGUGUGCUGUAGGCGGAAACAGAGGUCUUAAGACAAAGUCUGGGGAAGGUGCAGCUUUUAGAAGGGCAUGGGGCUGUGUCUGGGGUGGGCAGGAGAGUGGAGGGAACCGAAGUGAUUUCCUGCAGACCGGGGCUGGGAGAUGGGGCCUUGAUCAGCGGCACAGCCCAGUGCUGAGCAAGCCCAGCGCAGUGCUGGCCCACCCGCCCACCCUCAGGCCUUCAGCUUCCUGCAAGUCACAGCUUCCCCUGGGAAGGUCGCCAGGAGAGCCAGGGCAGCGCCACUGCUCGGGCUCGGGCUCGGGCUCGGGCCACAGCCUGUUCCCGGGAGCGCGGUCUGUCCUCCACACACAGCCACCCCCGCAGGCAAGCAGCUCUUCGAAGACUCGUGCAAUAAAUCAUACACAGGAACAACAACAUCCGGGAUCAUCUAUCCUGGAAGAAAUACUUUGCGUUCCAGAACCACUGGGCCCAAGAGGUGAGAACAGCCCCAGCUGCCCCAGGAGCCUGCAUAGGCAGAUACACCGGGGACAGCGGAAGCGCCGGGACCUGCUGACCGGCUGGAGCUGGACCCUGAGGUUCGGCAGAGCCGGCUGGGACCUAAGUGUCCUGCAGGAUGCACGUGGUUUACUGCAAGCUGCUGUCGGAGGGUCCGGCCUCUCCCGCCGGCCCAUCUUCCUGUCCACCUAGUGGGCUGGCCGUGCGGGCCGGGUAAGAGUGAGUGACAGGGUGGCGGCCGGCUCG